rnacentral:rRNA from 1 species
UUGAACGCUGGCGGCAUGCCUUACACAUGCAAGUCGUACGGUAACGCGGGGCAACCUGGCGACGAGUGGCGAACGGGUGAGUAAUGCAUCGGAACGUGCCCAGUAGUGGGGGAUAGCCCGGCGAAAGCCGGAUUAAUACCGCAUACGACCUACGGGUGAAAGCGGGGGACCGUAAGGCCUCGCGCUAUUGGAGCGGCCGAUGUCAGAUUAGGUAGUUGGUGGGGUAAAGGCCUACCAAGCCUACGAUCUGUAGCUGGUCUGAGAGGACGACCAGCCACACUGGGACUGAGACACGGCCCAGACUCCUACGGGAGGCAGCAGUGGGGAAUUUUGGACAAUGGGGGCAACCCUGAUCCAGCCAUGCCGCGUGAGUGAAGAAGGCCUUCGGGUUGUAAAGCUCUUUCAGCCGGGAAGAAAACGCAUGGGUUAAUACCCUGUGUGGAUGACGGUACCGGAAUAAGAAGCACCGGCUAACUACGU